rnacentral:sRNA from 1 species
UGAGAAUUUCCACUAACAGUUUACCACCACGUUUCCAGCACUGUAAUGAAAUCUGAUUUACACAGAGUCUAGUAUGGUGCCUUAGCUGGACCAAUUAUUGUGGAGCCACAUGUCACAGCUGUAUGGGGAAAGAAUGUUUCAUUAAAGUGUUUAAUUGAAGUAAAUGAAACCAUAACGCAAAUUUCAUGGGAGAAGAUACAUGGCAAAAGUUCACAGACUGUUGCAGUUCACCAUCCCCAAUAUGGAUUCUCUGUUCAAGGAGAAUAUCAGGGAAGAGUCUUGUUUAAAAAUUACUCACUUAAUGAUGCAACAAUUACUCUGCAUAACAUAGGAUUCUCUGAUUCUGGAAAAUACAUCUGCAAAGCUGUUACAUUCCCGCUUGGAAAUGCCCAGUCCUCUACAACUGUAACUGUGUUAGUUGAACCCACUGUGAGCCUGAUAAAAGGGCCAGAUUCUUUAAUUGAUGGAGGAAAUGAAACAGUAGCAGCCAUUUGCAUCGCAGCCACUGGAAAACCCGUUGCACGUAUUGACUGGGAAGGUGAUCUUGGUGAAAU